UACGAAGGGGGCUAGCGUUGCUCGGAAUUACUGGGCGUAAAGCGCACGUAGGCGGUCUUUUAAGUCGGGGGUGAAAUCCUGGAGCUCAACUCCAGAACUGCCUUCGAUACUGGAAGACUUGAGUCCGGGAGAGGGACGUGGAACUCCGGGAGUAGCGGUGAAAUGCGUAGAGACCCGGAGGAACACCAGUGGCGAAGGCGGCGUCCUGGCCUGCGACUGACGCUGUGGCGCGAAAGCUAGGGGAGCGAACGGG
rnacentral:rRNA from 1 species